UUGAGGGCCCAUUUGAUAGACUAAUUCUUUCAUAAAAACCAAAUCAAAACAAUGAUAAAACAAAUUUUUGUUCAAUUUGCAAAUGGAGAGGACAAGCCUCAAUAAUUUUAAAAUCUACGGAAGAUAUAUCUAUCCCUUAAAGUCAUGACCAGUGACAUCAACCGGAGAAGUUGAGGGGGACAUCCUUUUUUGUUUUGUUUUUUUU
rnacentral:lncRNA from 1 species